GGACCUCGGAUCAGGUAGGAUUCCCCCCUGAACUUAAGCAUAUCAUUAAGCCGAAGAAA
rnacentral:rRNA from 1 species